AUUGAACGCUGGCGGAAUGCUUUACACAUGCAAGUCGAACGGUAGAGGGGGCAACCCCUCGAGAGUGGCGAACGGGUGAGUAAUAUAAUCGGAACGUGCCCAGUCGUGGGGGAUAACGUAGCGAAAGUUACGCUAAUACCGCAUACGAUCUACGGAUGAAAGCGGGGGAUCGCAAGACCUCGCGCGAUUGGAGCGGCCGAUAUCAGAUUAGGUAGUUGGUGGGGUAAAGGCUCACCAAGCCAACGAUCUGUAGCUGGUCUGAGAGGACGACCAGCCACACUGGGACUGAGAUACGGGCCAGACUCCUACGGGAGGCAGCAGUAGGGAAUAUUGGACAAUGGGUGCGAGCCUGAUCCAGCCAUGCCGCGUGCAGGAAGACGGCCUUCUGGGUUGUAAACUGCUUUUGCCAGGGGAUAAAAAGACCAUGCGUGGUCAAUUGAAGGUACCUGGUGAAUAAGCCACGGCUAACUACGUG
rnacentral:rRNA from 1 species